CUUGUUUUCAGGGGAGUACAUGCCUGGAAUGUUAGCAAGCUAUUUGCUGGAAAAAAUGCCCACAACAGGCCUAAUGUUGAUCACAUUAAUGCGUUUGAGUGAGUAUGGAGUGCAAAUGAUUGAAAAUGCUUCCAGAUCCCCGUUGCAAGGGACAAAGCAGGCUCUGUUCUCUGAUCUGAUGGUCAUUUUUUUUUCCAGCGGAGGAUGUGGGGCAGGAAGAGGGAAGAGGGCCAAUCUCUGUCUAAUGGUUCCAAACAGGGCCCGGGCCCGGCCCUCUGGAUGCUGACGAGUGGGAAAUGAAACACAGAUGGGUCAGAUGGGUAAGGAGAGGGGGAUUACAGGUCAGGCCAAAGAGUUGGAAUAAAUUAAGUGCUUAUGAGGUACAGAAUGGCACAUUGUUUAAGUGAAUGGACAGGGAAAAAACAUUCCAGCAUUGUUCAUCUGCCGAGGGAGCCCAACGCUCCUCUUCCCAGACGAGCCCAGGCCACAGAGCGCCUCCUCCUCGCCAGGAUGUUUGUGACCCACAGACUGAAAACGCGGCCAGGCGGUGCCCGAAACAUUCUCCCAGCCUCCAAAGAGGCCAGUUUGGCUUUAUUACACGGGAGAUGUAAUUUAUUGGGAGAAAUGUUUGGGUUCGUGUGUCGGAUGGUGGAGAGUCAGAUUUGGAGUUCCCUAGGGAUCUCCGAGGAGAAGGUAUGUUAAGGAAAUCACCAAGUCCCAGAGUGUAGACGAGCCCGAUCCCUUCGCAGCAGAAGCAGAUGUUCACAAAGCAACUGACCAGGCCAGGUGUGUCCUUCAAGGCUACCUGCAUUCAACAGAGGCGACCACAGCCCAGACCCAUCCUUCUUGGGAGAGUUUCAAGAUGCUCCACAUAGUGGUGCCUAGCGCUCUGUGCACUCAGAGGCUAGAAGAAAAGAUACAGAGGUCCUCUUUCAAGGAGAGGCCCUGACGUUUCUAUUCUUACAAGGAUUCUUUGGUAAUAAAUACAGUGAAAACACCGUCA
rnacentral:lncRNA from 1 species